AGAGAUUAAAUUAUACAUACUAAGGUAAAAAGGCAGUUAAAUAUUUAAUAAUUUAAAAAAGUUUACUGAUUUCUUAUAUAAGAGUAAAAUCUAUACAUAAGUGAAUAAUUUAAAAUAAACUUACAAUAUUGAUUCUGCGAUAGCCUUGAGGGAAACUGGGAUUAGAUACCCCAUUAUUCUUGGCUGUAAAUUGACAUAAGUUUACCGGAGUACUAUGAAUCAUUUAAUAAAAUUUAAAACUCAAAGGGCUUGGCGGUGUUUUAGACCUCUCAGGGGAACCUGUCUCAUAAUCGACAAUCCGCGUUAGACCUAACCUUUUUUUGCAAUCCAGUUUGUAUACCGUCGUCGUCAGGUAACUUUUAAAAAAUUAGAAGUUGGCAACAAAAUAAUUGUGAAUUUAAACGUCAGAUCAAGGUGCAGCCUAUAUAAAGGUGAGGAUGGGUUACAAUUAUAACUUAUAAUUACGAAUAAAAUAAUGAAACAUUUAUUUUAAUGAAGGAGGACUUGAAAGUAAAAUAAAUUAUAUAAAUAAUUUGAAUAAGGCUCUGAAACAUGC
rnacentral:rRNA from 1 species